CGACCAAGGUUUGACUUGAGCGCCAGCGAGAGAGCGUUGCCGCAGGCAACGACCCGAAGGGCGAAGCGUGCAGCGCUGAGUAAUCCUUCCCCCACCACCA
rnacentral:sRNA from 1 species